GUUUAUUGUUCUUGUGUUUAGCAACUGUCAUGUGAUGAGAGACGCGGCCGCCAGCUCUUCCAUCUCCAGAGUUUUACUCCAAAGCUUAUUGCGUUCCUGGUUGAUGGCUAAAAGCCAGUGUGGAAAAAACAUCCGUGAAAAGGACUCCGGGAGAGGAACCUGCCUGCCGAAAGUGAAAAUAAAACCUAUAAAAUAAAAUACUAACCUGUCAUAGUGUAAUGGAACAACUGACUCGUCUCCUAUUCCAAAAAUAAACUUCUUUAUAAGUGAUGACAUAAA